CACACUUAUUCACUUCAUAUGACGUGUUAAAUCAGACAGACUGCCUAUCCCAAAGCACAGAUGGCAUUGAAGAGGUUUAUGGAGGCUAAAUAAUCUGAAUAUUUAAUCUACUGUUAAUGUUAGAACCACAGACUGUAUAGAACUAGGUUAGAACCACAGACUGUAUAGAACUAGGUUAGAACCAUAGACUGUAUAGAACUAGGUAAGAACCAUAGACUGUAUAGAACUAGGUUAGAACCACAGACUGUAUAGAACUAGGUUAGAAGCAUAGACUGUAUAGAACUAGCUAUGUAAGAACCAUAGACUGUAUAGAACUAGGUUAGAAUCACAGACUGUAUAGAACUAGGUUAGAACCAUAGACUGUAUAGAACUAGGUUAGAACCAUAGACUGUAUAGAACUAGGUUAGAACCAUAGACUGUAUAGAACUAGCUAUGUAAGAACCAUAGACUGUAUAGAACUAGGUUAGAACCAUAGACUGUAUAGAACUAGCUAUGUAAGAACCACAGACUGUAUAGAACUAGGUUAGAACCACAGACUGUAUAGAACUAGGUUAGAACCACAGACUGUAUAGAACUAGGUUAGAACCAUAGACUGUAUAGAACUAGCUAGGUAAGAACCACAGACUGUAUAGAACUAGGUUAGAACCACAGAUUGUAUAGAACUAGGU